rnacentral:rRNA from 1 species
GUCGAACGGGAUAGCAAUAUCUAGUGGCGACCGGGUGCGGAACACGUAGCUGACCUGCCCCUCGGCGGGGGAUAACAGUCCGAAAGGAUUGCUAAUACCGCAUACACUCACCGGGUUUAGAAGCUGGUGAGGAAACUUACGGGGUCGAGGGAGGGGGCUGCGGCCCAUCAGAUAGUUGGUAGGGUAACGGCCUACCAAGUCAUAGACGGGUAGGGGGCCUGAGAGGGUGACCCCCCACACUGGGACUGACACACGGCCCAGACUCCUACGGGAGGCAGCAGUAAGGGAUAUUGGGCAAUGGGCGAAAGCCUGACCCAGCAACGCCGCGUGGAGGAUGACGGCCUUCGGGUUGUAAACUCUUUUUGGUGGGGACGAGGAAGGACGGUACCCAUCGAAGAAGUCACGGCCAACUACGUGCCAGCAGCCGCGGGAAAACGUAGGUGACGAGCGUUAUCCGGAAUUACUGGGCGUAAAGCGUGUGCAGGCUGCGGGGUAAGUGGUGUAUGAAAGCGCCCGGCUCAACCGGGCGAGGGUAUGCCAGACUGCUCUGCUAGAGGGUGGCAGAGGGAGAGGGAAUUCCGGGUGUAGUGGUGAAAUGCGUAGAGAUCCGGAGGAACACCAGAGGCGAAAGCGCUCUCCUGGGCCACACCUGACGCUCAGACACGAAAGCAUGGGGAGCGAACGGGAUUAGAAACCCCGGUAGUCCAUGCCGUAAACGAUGCAGACUGGGCGUGGGCGGUCUCAACCCCGUCCGUGCCGAAGGCAACCUGUUAAGUCUGCCGCCUGGGGACUACGGUCGCAAGACUAAAACUCAAAGGAAUUGACGGGGGCCCGCACAAGCAGCGGAGCGUGUGGUUUAAUUCGAGGCUACACGAAGAACCUUACCUGGGUUUGACAUGGGCGUGGUAGGGAAGGGAAACCGGACCGACCUUCGGGAGCGCUCACAGGUGCUGCAUGGCUGUCGUCAGCUCGUGCCGUGAGGUGUUAGGUUAAGUCCUGUAACGAGCGCAACCCUCGGGGUCAGUUACACGGUGUCUGGCCCGACUGCCCGUGACAAGCGGGAGGAAGGUGGGGAUGACGUCAAGUCAGCAUGGCCUUUAUAUCCAGGGCUACACACACGCUACAAUGGCCGGUACAAUGGGUCGCCAAGCGGUAACGCGGAGCCAAUCCAGCAAAGCCGGUCACAGUUCGGAUUGAGGGCUGCAUCGCCCUCAUGAAGUCGGAGUUGCUAGUAACCGCCGGUCAGCUAUACGGCGGUGAAUACGUUCCCGGGCCUUGUACACACCGCCCGUCACGUCAUGGGAGCUGGUCACGCCUGAUGCCGGUGGGCCAACCGCAAGGGGGCAGCCGUCGAGGGCAGGGUCGGUGACUGGGACGAAGUCGUAACAAGGUA